GGAACUUAAAAAAAAUAAACCCUGAAAGAGCAAGAAAUUGCUGUGACACUUGUGAGUAACUGAGGUUCUUCCUCCUUCAGAAAAAAACCCAAAAAGCAGCUUUUGGGUUCUUGUUCCAAAUAGCAAAUGCUGAAUGACCUAAGAAAAUCUGAAUGGGUGUCUAAGGGUGAUAAAGUGAACAGACUGGUUGCACUGAUGGACAUGGGUUUGAAGAGUGGUUGGCUCAGGACACAUGGAUGGAGCUCCACGUCAGCUUCUGUCAUUAAAUGGAGAGGGAAGCUUUCAAACUCACCACUGAGGCUCUGAACUGGCUUUAAAUGAAAGGUGUUGUGCUUCUGAAGUGCCCUGCCCAAGAGCUCUCCAGCAAUCCAAACAGCCAGCAGACAAAGCCAUUAAACCUGAAGUGCCCAUGCAUGAUUACCUGGCAGAGAGCUGCAGGAGAGG
rnacentral:lncRNA from 1 species